UACGGAGGGUGCGAGCGUUGUCCGGAAUCAUUGGGCGUAAAGAGCGCGUAGGUGGAUCAAUUAGUCUGCUGUGAAAGUCAAAGGCUCAACCUUUGAAAGCCGGUGGAUACUGUUGAUCUAGAGUACGGAAGAGGCGAGUGGAAUCCUGGUGUAGCGGUGAAAUGCUUAGAUAUCAGGUGGAACACCAGUGGCGAAGGCGGUGUUCUGGGCCAGUACUGACGCUGAGGGCG
rnacentral:rRNA from 1 species